AAUAUUGGCACAAUGGGCGCUAAGCCUGAUGCAGCCAUGCCGCGUGUAUGAAGAAGGCCUUCGGGUUGUAAAGGUACUUUCAGCAGUUGAGGAAGGCGGGUUGCGUUAAUAGCGUGCUCGUUUGACGUUAGCUGCAGAAGAAGCACCGGCUAACUCCGUGCCAGCAGCCGCGGUAAUACGGAGGGUGCGAGCGUUAAUCGGAAUUACUGGGCGUAAAGCGCAUGCAGGUGGUUUGUUAAGUCAGAUGUGAAAGCCCGGGGCUCAACCUCGGAAUUGCAUUUGAAACUGGCAGACUAGAGUACUGUAGAGGGGGUAGAAUUUCAGGUGUAGCGGUGAAAAUGCGUAGAGAUCUGAAGGAAUACCGGUGGCGAAGGCGGCCCCCUGGACAGAUACUGACACUCAGAUGCGAAAGCGUGGGGAGCAAACAGGAUUAGAUACCCUGGUAG
rnacentral:rRNA from 1 species